rnacentral:rRNA from 1 species
AUGAUCGGUCCCAACCUCAACGUGGCUGACUGGAACGUUCGAGGCCUGAACGACCAAGCUCGCAAAGACACGGUCCACGCCUUUCUGUCAGACACUCCCUGCCAUAUCGCGUGUCUUCAAGAGACCAAACUUGUUUUCAUAGAUCAGCAAACUGCGGCCUACAUUGGUGGUUUUAAGCUCAGAUCUUUCGCUCACAAGCCAGCUGUUGGCACACGAGGUGGUAUUCUUCUUCUCUGGAAUGAAGAUCAAGUCUCUGUUACAAACGUUCACAUUGGCAGCUUUUUGAUCUCCGCCCAGAUCACCAUCCGUGAGUGCAGCACCUCUUUUCUCCUCGCCACAGUAUAUGGCCCUAGCGUUGACACAGAUAAAGGAGCUUUUCUUGCCGAAAUCAUCGCCACUGCUCCCAACAACGAUCAGAAAUGGCUCAUCCUUGGUGACUUUAACCUCAUCCUUCAAGUGGAAGACAAGAACAAUGAUAAGCUGAAUCUUCGUCUCAUGGGCCAGUUCAGGCGUGCUCUGAAUACUUGCCAUCUCAAGGAGAUUAAACUACAUAACAGGAAGUUCACCUGGAGCAAUGAAAGGGAGAACCCCACUCUCGAGAGGCUGGACCGCGCUUUUUGCAACCCGAGCUGGGAUUUGACUUUCGAAAGUCAUGUCUUGCACGCUCUUUCGUCAUCCUUGUCGGACCACUGCCCCCUCCUCCUUUCCAACCAGAGUGGGCCCCGUAAACCUGCGACUUUCCGCUUUGAAACCUUCUGGACUAAAAUGCCGGGUUUCCAAGAGACGGUUCUACAGGCAUGGUCAGCGCCCUCUUCUCACACUCAGCCGGUGCACGUAAUCAACCACAAGCUCAAGACCACCGCGCUCAGCUUGCGAUCCUGGAGCAGGGGUCUCUUCUCUAACUGCAAGCUUUAG